GAUGAAGAACGUAGCGAAAUGCGAUAAGUAAUGUGAAUUGCAGAAUUCAGUGAAUCAUCGAAUCUUUGAACGCACAUUGCGCCCGCCAGUAUUCUGGCGGGCAUGCCUGUUCGAGCGUCAUUACAACCCUCAGGCCCCCGGGCCUGGCGUUGGGGAUCGGCGGAGCCCCCCGUGGGCACACGCCGUCCCCCAAAUGCAGUGGCGGUCCCGCCGCAGCUUCCAUCGCGUAGUAGCUAACACCUCGCGACUGGAGAGCGGCGCGGCCACGCCGUAAAACACCCAACUCUUCUGAAGUUGACCUCGAAUCAGGUAGGAAUAUCCGCUGAACUUAAGCAUAUCAAUAAGCGGAGGA
rnacentral:misc_RNA from 1 species